UGCUUUAAACAAUCUAUAUUGCCCUUCAUUUAAACCAUCAGAUUUUUCUUGCCUCUCACUCUCAAUUUUGAAGUUCAUGUUUGGUCUUGUGAGAGGAAGAGAGCUUAGAAACUUCAAACCCUUGUUUGCAGCCACUACUCUCCACCUUCAUCCUCUGUCCUCAGCGUCGCCGGUGUGGGUCUCUAUUCGCCGCCGCAGCUCUUCUUCUCCUCUAUUUUUUUCCUUUUCGGAUCAUGGAGGAUCAAAGUGUUAAUCAGGGCUAACCCGACCUUUCUACUCCGAUUGUGUCUACUACUGGUGACCAGAGCAUCCCUGCAACAGGAGACCAAAUCAUGCCUAGCAACUAAUCUGCAUGAACGAGGAGACCUAGAAGUGGCACACGAUUAAGAGAGGUGGCUUUGAGUCGAAGUAGAGGUGAAAAGAUUCCAAUUCAGUUUGAUAACAAUUGGAAGCCAAUCGGGCCUAAUGCGACCAAGUAUACCAGUUUUGCAGCCCUCCAAGCUCGCAACAAGCUGAGUAUAUUAGCACCCAUAUAGGAUGAUGUCCUAGAACGUGUGAAAGAAUAGAUUUGGGAAGCCAUCAAUGUCACCUACGAAGUCCCUACUAGUGCAGACUUUAAGCGAAGGUUGAUGAUCUGGGCUUCUGAAUGUUGGAGGAGUUUCAAGACAUCACUAGCUUGUAGAUAUGUGCAUGUUGAGGUGCUAGAAAGACAGCCUUGGCCUGAUCUUUGCAUGCAGCAUACAUUUUUGGAUGCAGCUACUUUUGAAGAAUUCUUUAGGCUUCGGACUACGCCAGAGGCUUUGGAAAGAAGGAGAAGGACACAAGAGAUUGGGAGAAUGAAUAAUUGUCCCCAAACAAUGUCUCAUGGAGGUUAUGCUUUGGCUGAUAAAGUCUUGAUGAAGGCUAAGAGGAUGAAGAGAGAAGAAGAAGCUCAAUCUGAUCCUUCAAUUCUACUAUCUCCACCAUCUCCAGUACGUCAUGAUGAGAGAUGGAUCCAUGCUCAUCAAAAGAAGGAUGGGUCCUUUUCAAGCGAGUAAGCUCGUGAUGUUGCUACCAAAAUUAAUGAGCUUAAACAAAAACAAUCUGAUGGAUCAUUCAUUCCAGAGGGAAGGAAUGACAUCUUGACUGUAGCUAUAGGGAAACCAGAGCAUCUUGGACGUGUUAGGGGAGUCGGAUCAGGGGUGAGUAUAAGGGAUGUAUUUGGACCACCUCAUCAAUGCCAUUCUUCAGGACUUGUGACAAGGGAGGAGAUGACUGCGAUACUAGCUCAAGCAAGAGCAGAGGCAAGGGCAGAUGCUGAGAUUACCCUUGAAGCUAAAUUGCAAAAGAUGAAGGAGGAAAUGUUAAUGAUGAUGAGCUCACAGAAGUAGUCAAGUGCCCCAUAUACCCACUCUCCUGCUUGUCAUCCGAGCACUAAAAGAAGUAACAUCGUUCCACUUCCUUCAGAGGAUGACCCAGCUCCUGACCUUGAGCUAUGCUUCUUAUAUGUGGAAGAUCCAAAGAAACACUUAGUAGCACGCGGUCUCAUCCAUAAGGGGUUGAAAUGCCACUUCCAGAAAGUUGAAGAAGAUGUUGUCAAGGUCAACAUUGAAAAGGUCUAAAUUGAUGAUGCUCAUGUCCCAUUCCCUACUGAUGAGAUUAAGACAGUAAAAGAUGCUAAGGGAACUUUUACCUUAUGGCUAAAGAGACUUAUUAGGAUGCCUCAAUAUCUGGUCGAAAGACACAGUUACGCGAGUUGAGUCCGUGGGACUAAUUUGUCCUAUUGGCAUAUGGUGGAUCAUUUCCUCCCAGAGUUUUUAAAGCAGUUCCUGAUCUUGUUGGCAUUAACAACUACAAAUUUUUUGUUGAGAAUAAGGAUCUAGGCCGGAUUCUCAUUGAUGGUGACCAAACUAUGACGAGCAUUCAAAUUGGAAUGAUGUUUUUGCAUCAAAUGUUGGUUUUCUCAAGCAAAGACAAACAAUACGGAUUUCUUUGCCCACGUUGCACUAAUGAUAAAGAGACCACCAAAGAGACAAAAGAGGAAUACAUGAAUCAGAGGCUUAGUGAAGGCAACAAGGAGUGUUACUUUUCCUUGUUUCUCUAUCUGUAAGUAAACAUAUUUGAAUUUAUUUGUAAUAGUAUUGAAUAUUUGCUUAAAUCACUUUUUUUUUGCAGUACACAUUAGCAAUUGAUAGUGUUUUCGAUGAAGAGCAAUUCUAUCUUUUUUUUAUGUUCUCUACAUCGUAAACUCAAUCCGGGAAUGAAGAAGUCUUGUGAACAGGCUAUGAGGAUUGGCCAGCAAGUUCGGUUAGGCAAGGCCCCACGUGAUGUCAAGGAUCCUAUAUGGAUAGAACCAAAGAGUCGUCGUCAACCCCCUACUAACUUGUGUGGCUUUUAUGUGUUGAGACACGUGUACAACAUCAUCACGGCCAGCUUGACAGAGUUUACUGAGGAGAUGUUUAAUGAUUCAUCUCCAUUUCCACAAUUAGAGAUCCAAGAAAUUAGAAGACAUUGGGGACUGUUUAUGUUAGAGCUUCACAACAAUAAUCCACUUAAUGAGUGAGUUUAGGAUAGGUGUAGUUGAAUUAGUAAAAAUUAUUGCAUUUAUUUGGAUAUUGAAUAUUAAAUGAAAUUGUAAAUAUUUUUAAAUUAAUUUGAUUGAAUUGGGUUGUAUU